rnacentral:rRNA from 1 species
AUAUCAAUAAGCGGAGGAAAAGAAACCAACAGGGAUUGCCCUAGUAACGGCGAGUGAAGCGGCAACAGCUCAAAUUUGAAAUUUGGCCCUAGGCCCGAGUUGUAAUUUGCAGAGGAUGCUUUUGGCGCAGCGCCUUCCGAGUGCCCUGGAACGGGACGCCACAGAGGGUGAGAACCCCGUAUGGUUGGACGCUAAGCCUCUGUAAAGCUCCUUCGACGAGUCGAGUAGUUUGGGAUUGCUGCUCAAAAUGGGAGGUAAACUCCUUCUAAGGCUAAAUACCGGCCAGAGACCGAUAGCGCACAAGUA